GACGAACGCUGGCGGCGUGCUUAACACAUGCAAGUCGAACGGAAAGGCCCUGCUUUUGUGGGGUGCUCGAGUGGCGAACGGGUGAGUAACACGUGAGUAACCUGCCCUUGACUUUGGGAUAACUUCAGGAAACUGGGGCUAAUACCGGAUAGGAGCUCCUGCUGCAUGGUGGGGGUUGGAAAGUUUCGGCGGUUGGGGAUGGACUCGCGGCUUAUCAGCUUGUUGGUGGGGUAGUGGCUUACCAAGGCUUUGACGGGUAGCCGGCCUGAGAGGGUGACCGGCCACAUUGGGACUGAGAUACGGCCCAGAAUCCUACGGGAGGCAGCAGUGGGGAAUAUUGCAGAAUGGGCGGAAGCGUGAUGCAGCAACGCCGCGUGCGGGAUGACGGCCUUCGGGUUGUAAACAGAUUUCGCCUGUGACGAAGCGUGCGUGACGGUAAUGGGUAAAGAAGCACCGGCUAACUACGUG
rnacentral:rRNA from 1 species